GGCGAGGGGGUGGGAGAAAAAAGCAGGCAGAGGAACCCUGAACAGACCCUCCCGAAGCCAGGCACUUUUCAGCUGGCCAAUGUGGUGUCCGCCCCCCUUUCCUCCCGUGCCCUCACAAAGUUUUAAAUCAAGCCCCAGAGGACUGGGCUUCACCCCUCCCUCCGCCGUUCCUUCUGGCUCCGAAGAGGAUGGAGACUUUCUGGCUUGAGGUCAGGUUGCCAAGGCCUGAGCUUGCAGGGCUAGGAUGGCUGAUUGCUCUGGGAAGAGGAGCCAGGUUCCCAUGUGGGCCUCAAGUCCGUUGAUGGCGCAAAAGAGUAUUUCUCUGGUUCCAUCUGUGGCCUGGAUAUGAAAGUGAUGCCAUGAAUACAUCUGUAGACACUCUGCAAACCCUUAUCGAUGAGAUUCUCUCUUGUGAUCUAUGGAAUCAUGACCAAGCAUAAAGGUUUACAACUCUGACUUUGUAUUAAUUUUUGCCUGAAGAGAAGCAGGAUAUACCAGCAGUUUCAUAAGAAAGUCCAAGUUCCAUGAUGUUUCCAGCUCAUUUUUGCAGGAUUCUUUAAAUACCAAAAAUUUGCUUCUGAGUUUAACGAGACAAUAAUCUACAAACCUGCUGAUGUUUGCCACUCCUCUGAUUCAAGAAAAGGAAAUGGUACUUCCCUGCCUCUUAAAAUGUAUUAUUUCUCUAUGCACCUACAUGGUUUCCACUGAGACCAUACGGAAUGCAAAUGCAAAAUGCUUAUGACCAUGCUGCAUACAGUAACAAGAAUAGCCUUUCCAUCACAUUGUUUUUAAAGAUACUUCACAAUGGAAUGCAACAGGUUCUAAAAAUAUUGCCCAAUGUAUACGAAGAAAGUUUUGAUACUUUUGUCAUGGCCAUUUCCCCUCUAGUUUUUGUCUGUCCACCUCCAUUUGGCAAAAGGAGAGUCACUGUAAACAUUUUUGUUCUCUUCUCUUAAUUGCAUUUGUCGGACAAAGAUCAUCAUGCUCUGAUUUAGUGUUUUCAAAUAAGUAUGCCCUCUGGUGCAGCACUCUAUUGAAAGACAACACAGCCCAGACAGGAGAGUUCAGCAUGGCCACUAAUAAAACACAAGUGCUGCUUUGUCAGGCCACGAGUGAUUACUUGAACAAGUGCCAACCAAGAAACCAAACAUUAGAGCUCAGCUCUUCAGACCCUCAAGACAAAGGGCCAAUUGACUUUCCUCAUUAGUUUUUGUGCCAAACAUGUAAACACAGUUUCCUCUCUAUCUUUGAUGCUCAAAACAUGCCAGCUUGUUAACAUCUUGGGUGGUAUGGUAGUUUGUGAGCCUAGAAAGGCUAUUGUGUAGUGGUUGUUUUCGUCCUAAUUGAAAAGACUGAUUUAUUCUAUAAAUGCCCUAAACCGGGAUCUUUCUGGCAAUUUAGAAAUGCUGUCUUUGCUGUUAUAGACUCUGAUAAAGUGACCUGGAAAAACUAGAACACAAACUCUCCUGCACUCCUAUGGAGGAUGACAUGAAAGUUUUAUUUGAACUAGUAUCCGCCUCUAGAUUACUUUUAUAAAAUAAAAAGUUACCUUGAAGAAAUAAGAUGUUCUGUUGCUACCUCUAGUGAGUGAUGAAACAUAAAUGAUAAUAACAAUCAUACGGUAAGCUUUUAAAGAUUAUUUUCCAUUUCUGAUUUUUUAAAAUGCCCUUUAUGUGGGGGGCUACUGACAUUUAAACUUCCUUUUCCCCCCAUGUCUGUCGCUGCUGUGCCUAGACAGAUAAUGGAAGUCAGUAUAUGAAAAACAAUUCCAAACAAUCUAAAAGUUUCAAGGAAGGUGCUGAAUUUUAGUCAGCAUUCAGUGAAUAUGUUUCUUCAAGCCACUUUCCUUUGCAAAUAUUUUGGCUGCUGGAAAUCAUAUUUGAGUAAAACAUUCAAUGCAUCUGAAACUGUUCAGCUCAAGAAUCACUGUGCAAGAUACUGAGCCUUAUGAACUGGAUUUCUUUUUGUUUGUGCAAAUAAAAUACCCUGCCCUAUUAACUAAAAAGUCUGAUCUUGAUAAAACUAGCAUUCUUUUCCUUUUGCACAAAAUAUUGAAGGACUUUUAGUUAAUAAGGAUGAUUUUUAGAAAUGAAAACUAUUUUCAUUUUCUGAAAGCUCGAUGAAACUUACUUCAUUAGCCAGCAUCUUUUUAUAAAGAAAAAGUUCACAAGACAACUUAAAGUUAUCAAAAAAUAUAUAAAAAACCACACAACAGGGAUGUGAAUAAAAGUCUGUGAAUCACCUAUCAAAAAUAACAAGUAAUAUAAGCAAAUAUAUGUGCAUGGAAAAAAGAAAAAAAAUGCUGUAAGAAUCACACACACACACAUACACAAACACUGUUAAUUCACCUUUUUAAAUAAAGCAACUGGCAUGUAGGGUGGUGUUAUUUGCUGCUAGAACAGUGAGCACACUGUGCAUAGCUGGAAUGCAGUUUGUUGUUCAAUUUGCUGACACUUAGUAAUACAUUUUUGGAGGAUUUGCCCACAGUUGUUGAUGGAUCAGGGAAGACAUUGGCCUAGCUCUGUUAUUCUUUUACAUUAAAGAAGCAGUGGGGCAUUAGAAAGAGUGAGUGCUGGUUUGAAAACAGGAAAAAUAUGAGGGCUAAAAAAAUAUCUGAUCAGAAAAGCCCAAGGUUUCCAGAUUCCCUAGGUCUGGGGCAGCCUGAUGGGCAUGAUACUUCAGAUUUCGUACUCUCGGUCUCCCAGCUCUGAGUUCCAACCCAUCUGGCAGGCUGCUGCAGAGUUAGUGGUAUAGAAGUUUUUAGAGUCCCUGGCUUUUAGGGCAGCACUCGUCUCCUAGUCACAUUGGCUUCAGACCUAAAAGGUUUAAGCAGGUUCCUUAGUAGCUCAUGCCCUGGGCAUGUCCUGGUUGGCAGUUGAUGGUGCCGAGUUGCAGUUGGGCAAAAAAUUCCAUUCCUAUUCAGCUUUAGAUAUCCACCAUUACCUCAAAGUCCUUUUCAGAGUCUUUGUGUUCCAAAAUAUUAUCUCCCAUCUUGAAAGUGUGAUCUUGCAUUUGAACAUCUUAAAAUGUAUUAUUCAAACCAGCACUUUUGUUUGCCUCUCUUCCAGUUUUUGAGUAAUCUGCAAAUUAUCCCAGCAGUGAUUUUAUGUUUUCUUGCAGACCAUCAAUCAACAUACUAAAUAGCAUUGGACAAAAACAGAUCCUCACAUGACCCCACUAGAAAUAUCCAUAGGAUGAUGAUUCCCUAUUUAUAAUUACUUUUUGGGAUCUAUCAAGUAACCAGUUGAAAUCCAUUUAAUAUGACUACAUGAAUUUUUGUAUAGAGUUAUUUAUUUUUAGCAUGGGGACUGAAGUUAUGUCUACACUGCAAUGGGGAGUGUGAGUGCAACAUGUGCAGAUAUACCUGGACUAGUUUUAGUCUGGCUACUGUGGAUACAAACAGCACUGAAGUUAUGGAAGUAUAGCACAAACCUGUCUGGCGCCCUGGGUACUUACUCAGGAAGCUAGGUCACACUGAAGUCCAUGCUCUGACAACUUUGCUGCUCUUGUGUCUUGACCACCUAGAUUAAAGCUAUCUAAGGAAAGUGCACACAUGCUGCACUCACAUCUUCUGAAUACAGUGUGGACAUACCUUAUGCCAAAAGCCUUAUGGAAGUCUAAGUAUAUUAUGUCAAUGCUGCUGCAUUUGUAAACUCAGCGAAAAUUUAUCAAUUUGCCCGACAAGACCCAUUUUCCAUAAAAUCAUGCUGACUGGCAUUAAUUACGCUACCUGUCAUUAAGUUCUUUACUGAUUUCAUCUCAGAUCAGCCUUUUCAUGAUUUUUCCCAAGAUCAAUCUCAGGCUAUCAUCCAAUAGUUACCACUUCCCCUUUGUAAAUACUGUACUAGUACAACAUUAACUUUUCUCCAGCCCCUGAGACCUUUCCCAGUGUUCGAAGAUUUGUUAAAAAUCAACAUUAGUGGUUCCAAGAGUUCCUCUGCCAAUUCUUUUAAUCAUGUCUGAGGCAGGUGAUACAGUCCCACAUAUUUUCCUACUCAGACUGUACCUUUAUGCAACAAUCUGGGCCAGAGAGCUUAGUGAUACUGGGUCUGAUUGCAUUCCCCUUUACAUUGUUUUCAUUCUUGAUUGGGCUGGAAAUGUCAUGCAGACCACCUGCCUCACAACAGUGAAUUUACACCAGGGUUGAAUUUGUGUCAACCUGUGUUGGGUCAAAUGUUCCUUUUAUUGUUUGUCUUUAAAAUCAUCUUCUCUCACUAGUUAGUUUUACUUAAAGAAAUAGUUAUUUCAAACUGUAUUUCCAAUGGACUUACAUUUCUGAUUACAUGAUGUUCAGGGUGAGUACAUUAAUAAUGUUCAAAAUGUGGUUUGCAGGCUUUCUGACAGCCCAACACUGUAGAAUUUCAGCAGUCGAAUCUGACCUGGUAGACCCUGCACGCAAAUCCACUGAAUCAAUCAUGCUGCACAAAGCAAAACUUGCUAUGGAAUGUAACUGUGCUGAAGUGAAAAUUGAAGUGUACAGUACAGGUCCUCUGCUACAGAGUUCAUCAUUGCAAAUUCAUGGGCUUACAUUAGGCCACAUAAUUAUAAUGAAACUCACAAUGUUAUGAUGUACAAGCCAACACCAAUGCCUUGGGUUUUUUGUGUGUGUCAAAUGGAAGCAGAUGUAUGCAGCAGAGUCAUAUUCUUUUACAACUACAUACAGCAGACGUGAGUGUGGAGAUGUGGCUACAUUUGUAUAACAAGCAUCAUUCUAGACAUGUUGAGCUCUUUCUGCCAGGGUUCAGAGUUGUGCCAAAACAAUGCACCUACAGCAAAGUGACAAAUUACCCCUUUUCACCAAUUUCAAAUACAUCACAGAGCAGAGAGAGAGAGCGAGUGCAUGAAAAAAAAUCACUUUUUGACCAUUUUGUGAUUGCAAAUGAUUGUUUUUCAUCUUCUGCAAAGCAGGAUGAUUAUGUCAGCAAGCAGAUAAGACGAAGAUUAAAGUUUUUUAAACAAUACAACUUGGUGCAUCAUUCGAUCUCAAUCUGAUCAUCAUGUGACAUUGUCUCCAGAGUUCAUUGUGAGGGGAGAGAUUGAGAGAUCCUUUUAGGAGCAGGUGGUGUCUCACAUGUAGGCAGAAACAAAGUGCCUACCAAAAUAACUGGCAAUAUGAUUGAGAAACUGCACCAAAGCAUAAAGACACAGAUAAUAAUAGUAAAAUAAUGUUAAUAAUUAAUACCAUCUGCAGAGCUAAACAAAGCUUUACAAAGAAGAACAGUAUACUUAUCCACAUUUUUAGAUAAAGGAAAACUAAGGCACCUAU